AGAGCGCAAGGGGAAUGCCUUGGCAUCAGGAGCCGAAGAAGGACGUGACAAGCUGCGAUAAGCUGCGGUGAGCUGCACAUAAGCUUUGACCCGCAGAUUUCCGAAUGGGGAAACCCGGCAGAGCAAUACUCUGUCAGCGUGCGUUGAAUCAAAUAGGCGUACGCGGGGAACCGCCUGAACUGAAACAUCUAAGUAGGGCGAGGAAGAGAAAUCAACCGAGAUUCCGCUAGUAGUGGCGAGCGAACGCGGAAGAGGGCAAACCGGAGGAUUUAUCCUCCGGGGUUGUGGACAGUUUUUUAGCAACUGGAACUAGGAGAACGGUAUGGGAAGGCCGGCCAUAGCGGGUGAUAGCCCCGUAUCCGAAAGGGAAGGUUGUGCGACUGGAUCCAGAGUACCGCCGGACACGUGAAACCCGGUGGGAAGCUGGGGGGACCACCCUCCAACCCUAAAUACUACUCGAUGACCGAUAGAGGAGCAGUACCGUGAGGGAAAGGUGAAAAGGACCCCGGGAGGGGAGUGAAAGAGAACCUGAAACCUUGUGCUUACAAGCACUCAAAGCCCGUUAAAGGGUGAUGAGGUACCUUUUGUAGAAUGGUCCGGCGAGUUAUUGUUACUGGCAAGCUUAAGGCAUUCAGUGCCGGAGGCGCAGGGAGACCGAGUCUGAAUAGGGCGUAUGAAGUCAGUGGCAAUAGACCCGAAACCGGGUGACCUAUCCAUGGGCAGGUUGAAGUGGGGGUAAAACCCCAUGGAGGACCGAACGCACGCCCGUUGCAAUGGUCGGCGAUGACCUGUGGAUAGCGGUGAAAUUCCAAUCGAACUCGGAGAUAGCUGGUUCUCCCCGAAAUAGCUUUAGGGCUAGCGUUGGCUUAGAUUACCGGAGGUAAAGCACUGAAUGGGCUAGGGGCCGAUAAGGUUACUGAACCCUAUCAAACUCUGAAUGCCGGAUAAUUGAUGGCUAGCAGUCAGUCUACGUGAGAUAAGUCUCGUGGACAAAAGGGAAACAGCCCAGACCCACAGCUAAGGUCCCAAAGAUACGCUAAGUGGAAAACGAUGUGGAGUUGCGAAAACAACCAGGAUGUUGGCUUAGAAGCAGCCACUCAUUAAAAGAGUGCGUAAUAGCUCACUGGUCGAGUGGUUCUGCGCGGAAAAUGUAACGGGGCUAAGCGUAUAACCGAAGCUUGGGAUGCAGCAAUGCAUGGUAGGGGAGCGUCGAAUACGGGGUGAAGUCGUAGCGGAAGCAGCGGUGGACUGUAUUCGAGUGAGAAUGCCGGAAUGAGUAGCGAGAAUUAUGUGGGAAUCAUAAUGGCCGAAAAUCUAAGGUUUCUUGGGGAAGGUUCGUCCGCCCAAGGUAAGCCGGGAGCUAAGGCGAGGCCGAAAGGCGUAGUCGAUGCACAUACGGUUGAAAUUCCGUAGCCACCGAAACUUAAACCAGAAGGACACUUGGAGCUAUCCGAACCCGGGCGUUGGUUGACCCGGGCGUAAGGGACCGAAAUUAAGUAGGGAAGUCGGAGAAUGACGAGGCGAGAAAAGUUCUGGUGUAUGCUAAGGUGCCCGUACCGCAAACCGACACAGGUAGAUGAGGAGAGAAUCCUAAGGCCAACGGGAGAAGGGUUGUUAAGGAACUCGGCAAAAUGACCCCGUAACUUCGGGAUAAGGGGAGCCUGCGCGAGCAGGCCGCAGAGAAUAGGCCCAAGCGACUGUUUACCAAAAACACAGGUCUAUGCUAAAUCGAAAGAUGACGUAUAUGGGCUGACGCCUGCCCGGUGCUGGAAGGUUAAGAGGAGAGCUUAGCGCAAGCGAAGGUUUGAAUUGAAGCCCCAGUAAACGGCGGCCGUAACUAUAACGGUCCUAAGGUAGCGAAAUUCCUUGUCAGGUAAGUUCUGACCCGCACGAAAGGCGUAACGAUUUGGGCGCUGUCUCAGCUGUAGACUCGGUGAAGUCUUAGUACCUGUGAAGAUGCAGGUUACCCGCGACUAGACGGAAAGACCCCAUGGAGCUUCACUGCAGGUUGAUAUUGGGAUUUGAUGCAGCAUGUACAGGAUAGGUAGGAGGCAAAGAGAUGGAUACGCCAGUAUUCAAGGAGCCGCUGUUGGGAUACUACCCCUGUUGUAUUGGAUUUCUAACCGGACGACGUAGAGCCGUUGACGGGACAGUGUCAGUCGGGCAGUUUGACUGGGGCGGUCGCCUCCCAAAGAGUAACGGAGGCGCCCAAAGAUACCCUCAGCUUGGAUGGAAACCAAGCGCAGAGUGCAAAGGCAAAAGGGUGUUUGACUGCGAGACCUACAAGUCGAGCAGGGACGAAAGUCGGGCUUAGUGAUCCGGCGGUGCUGAAUGGAAAGGCCGUCGCUCAACGGAUAAAAGCUACCCUGGGGAUAACAGGCUGAUCUCCCCCAAGAGUUCACAUCGACGGGGAGGUUUGGCACCUCGAUGUCGGCUCAUCGCAUCCUGGAGCUGAAGUCGGUUCCAAGGGUUGGGCUGUUCGCCCAUUAAAGCGGUACGCGAGCUGGGUUCAGAACGUCGUGAGACAGUUCGGUCCCUAUCUGUCGUGGGCGCAGGAAAUUUGAGAAGAGCUGUCCUCAGUACGAGAGGACCGGGAUGGACGCAUCAAUGGUGGACCAGUUGUCACGCCAGUGGCAUAGCUGGGUAGCUAAAUGCGGAAGGGAUAAACGCUGAAGGCAUCUAAGUGUGAAACCCACUUCAAGAUGAGAUUUCCCAUUGC
rnacentral:rRNA from 1 species